GAUGAACGCUAGCUACAGGCUUAACACAUGCAAGUCGAGGGGAAACGAUAGAGAAAGCUUGCUUUUUCUAGGCGUCGACCGGCGCACGGGUGAGUAACGCGUAUCCAACCUGCCCAUCACUUGGGGAUAACCUUGCGAAAGUAAGACUAAUACCCAAUGACGUCUCUAGAAGACAUCUGAAAGAGAUUAAAGAUUUAUCGGUGAUGGAUGGGGAUGCGUCUGAUUAGCUUGUUGGCGGGGUAACGGCCCACCAAGGCGACGAUCAGUAGGGGUUCUGAGAGGAAGGUCCCCCCACAUUGGAACUGAGACACGGUCCAAACUCCUACGGGAGGCAGCAGUGAGGAACAUUGGGUCAAUGGACGAGAGUCUGAACCAGCCAAGUAGCGUGCAGGAAGACGGCCCUAUGGGUUGUAAACUGCUUUUAUAAGGGAAUAAAGUGAGUCUCGUGAGACUUUUUGCAUGUACCUUAUGAAUAAGGACCGGCUAAUUCCGUGCCAGCAGCCGCGGU
rnacentral:rRNA from 1 species